AACGAACGCUGGCGGUGUGCUUAACACAUGCAAGUCGAACGAGAAAGUUUCCUUCGGGAAGCUAGUAAAGUGGCGCAAGGGUGAGUAACACGUGAAUAAUCUGCCCUCGAGAUCGGGAUAACCUGAGGAAACUUUGGCUAAUACCGGAUAAGACCACAUUUCAUAUGGAAUGUGGGAAAAGGAGUCUCAAUCUUCACUCGAGGAUGAGUUCGCGGACCAUUAGCUUGUUGGUGAGAUAAAAGCUCACCAAGGCAACGAUGGUUAGCCGGCCUGAGAGGGCGAUCGGCCACACUGGAACUGAGACACGGUCCAGACUCCUACGGGAGGCAGCAGUGAGGAAUAUUGGACAAUGGAGGCAACUCUGAUCCAGCCAUGCCGCGUGCAGGAUG
rnacentral:rRNA from 1 species